ensembl:rRNA 5S_rRNA 5S ribosomal RNA
GUCUAGGGCCAUACGACCCUGAAGGCGCAUGAUCUCCUCUGAUCUAGGAAGUAAAGCAGCGUCCAGCCUGGUUAAUACUUGGAUGGGAGACUGCCUGGGAGUACCAGGUGCUAUGGUGA